GGGGUCGACUGGUUUUGACAUCAGGAUUGAUUAUGACAGUUUGCAAGUCGAGCAUUGGAUAAUAGCUCGUAAAUCUGAUUUUCCAAAAAAUUAAUUGGCGAAAAAAAUUACGCUCUAGCUGCUUAAACACUUUAAAAUUUAAGCCUCUCUCGAACUGAUCGGGAAGCUGGAUGUCUCAGAAAAUAGCCUUUGUUGGCGGCGGUUUUCAAUGAGGCACCAUUCAAAGUCAACAUAGAACAAAAUAGCGCGAAUCUUGUUCGAAAAUUUUAGUGCUAAGGAGAUUUUAUGGAUGUUUCUUUCCAAAAAUUUCUCGAAAACCAAAAUGAAACUAAACUUGUAGAGGACCGAUUGUCGCUUGUUUGGACGCGGGUUCGAUUCCCGCCGACUCCACAU
rnacentral:tmRNA from 1 species